rnacentral:misc_RNA from 1 species
UAAAUUCAGGGAAACAGAUGCUGUACGUUCAACUCUUACUCUUUUUUAUUUUAUUUUAACGCUUUAAUACUAAUACUAAUAUGACAUUGAAAUUUGAGACUGGAUUUUCUUUUAUAUUAUCAAACUCAAUAUGGUUCAGUUCAAAAAAAAAAAGUCAAUAUGGUUUUCUGAUCUAAGUAUCAUUCUUAAUUACCUCUCUAUAUAUGUGGCUUUUUGGAACAGGUUGUGGAGCAUGUAUUGAAAGAA